rnacentral:sRNA from 1 species
UUUUAGCAUCGAAGACAGAUGUUAAGCGUGUAAGAUAACGUUGCGUCAGCAACGGCCCGUAGGGCGAGCGAAGCGAGUCAUCCUGCACGACCCACCA